AUGGCCGGCGAGGACCGCCUGUCCGGACUCCAUGACAAUCUCCUCCGGCGCGUCCUCCACUUCGUCCCAGCCAAGGAGGCCUCGUCCACGACCGCGCUCUCGCGGCGUUGGCGCACGGCGCUCUGGCGCUCCUCGGGCGCCGUGAACCUCGAGACGUGCGUCCAGAACCACAGGCACGGACUCUACAGUAGUACGCGCGAUGAAGCCUUCUACUCCGGCCGUGAUGCCUUCGUCUCCGCGGCCUUGGCGGCGCUCGACGCCGCCGACGGCGGCCACGUCAAGAGGCUCACCUUACGCCUGUCUGACCGCGACGACACAGCGCUCGACGAUUUCCUGAACCGCAGCCGCCACAGCUAGCUGGUCGCCGAAGGACAUAGCAGCGAAGCUCAUGAGGACAGGGAGAUCUGCUGGAGUCGGGUAGGUGUCUAUAGGCUCACCGUCGACGUCCUGCCGUUGGAGACUCUCCGUGUGCUGGAAAUCACCAACUGCAAGGGCCUCGGCCUGCCCAAGGCCGCCGCCGCGGUCGCGCUCCCGCGGCUGUCGUCGCUGCGGCUGCGGUACUGUGUUCAGAGCCUUGGCUCCCUACAGUGGAUCAUCGACGCCGCGCCGGUGCUCUCUGCCGUCUGCCUCGAGUCCGUACAGAUAGACGACCACGACAUCAACGACUACUACUACAUCGAUGAUGACGAGGAGGAGGACGAUCCCCCGCUGCCCAAAGAAGAAGAUGCACUCCUCGGCCUCAGUUGCCCCGCCGCCACCCUGCUCGUUCUGGAGAGGUGCAUGUGGAAGAAAAAACACUACAUGCCUCACCGCAACUGCUCCGACAAUGAGAAACCCGUCGCCCUCGUCGCUGCGGAGAUCCACGCGCCGAGGCUGCAUAGAUUCAGGUACAAGGGGCUUCUCCGGCCCUUCUCAUUCAGUCCACAGCCGCCAGAGUUGCAACAAGUGGACCUCGAAUUUUUCCCGGACACCAACCACAGGGACAAUGAUCCAGACCGUGAUCUAGCAACCUUCUGGCAACUCGUUGGGAGCUUCACCAGCGCCAAAGACAUGAAGCUAAGCAUAAAGCUCGAGGCGAUAGCUGUGGUCAGCAAGGCGAGGCAGGCCGAGCUCCUGCCCGCCUUCUCCAGCCUCAAGCGUCUCGAGUUGCAUGGAGUGCACGGGGAGAAUGUCAAGAAGGCGGCCCUGGGGAUCGCGAAUCUGCUCCGUUGCUGCUCCGCGCUCCGUGACCUCCGGAUCAACCUCACCACAGAGGGCCACCACACCUCCAAAAACCAUGAGCAGACUCGUGAAUUCCUGAAAAGGAAAUUCCGAUCUAGCCGCGACAACCCCGUCGAUCGUUUUGAUUGCGGCUGCAAUUCCGAGGAAGGACAUGAUGAGGCCAUCAGUAGUGUUGCAUAUGAUGAAGUUUCUGAAAUUCCUGCCUUGAGUCGACGCUCGUUCGAGUGCUUGCAGAGCUCACUGAGCAGAGUGGGUUUGCAAUUCCGGUUUGAGAAGUUGAACUGCCUUGGUGUCAAGCUCAUCAAAUUUUUCGCUGAGAAUGCCAUGGUUUUGGAAGAAAUUCACAUCGAUAGUGGAAAUGGAAGACGACGAUAUCCAAUCGCGAUCGCAUCGGUGAUCGCGCCGCCGACGUGGACGAUGGCCGGCGAGGACCGCCUGUCCGAACUCCCCGACGAUCUCCUCCGGCGCGUCCUCCACUUCGCCCCAGCCAAGGAGGCCGCGUCCACAACCGCGCUCUCGCGGCACUGGCGCACGGCGCUCUGGCGCUCCUCGGGCGCCGUGAAUCUCGAGACGCGCGUCCAGAAGUACGACCACAGACGCUACUACGACAGUAGCCCCGAAGAAGCCGAGGCACGCCGCGAUGCCUUCGUCUCCGCGGCCUUGGCGGCGCUCGACGCCACCGCCGACGGUGGCCACGUCAAGAGGCUCACCUUACUCGUCGAGUCUGAUGGCGACGACAACUCGCUCGACGAGUUCCUGAACCGCAACCGCUACAACAACUACGAGUACGAGGAAAACCCAAAUGUGGUCGACGUCGUGCUCUCCCACCUCGCCGCGCGCCGGGUGGAGGAGCUCAGGCUGCAGGUCGCCCAGGAAUACAAGAGCGAAUCGGGCUUCAACCCGCCGGAGGCCGUGGCGGCCGCGCUCCCGCGGCUAUCGUCGCUGCAGCUGCAACAUUGUGCUCAGAGCCUUGGCUCCCUACAGUGCAUCAUCGACGCCGCGCCGGAGCUCUCUGCCGUCUGCCUCGAGUCCGUACAGAUAGACGACUACGACAUCGACGUCGAGGAGGAGGACGAUCCCCUGCACUCCUCCGCCUCCGAUGCCCGGCCGCCACCCUGCUCGUUCUGGACAAGUGCAUGUGGGAGACAAGAGCCCGCAUCCUCCACCGCUACUCCAGCUCCGACAAUGAGAAAACCCUCCCCCUUCGUCGCCGCGGAGAUCCACGCGCCGAGGCUACAUAGAUUCAGGUACAAGGGGCUUCUCCGGCCGUUCUCACUCAGUCCACAGCCGCCGGAGUUGGAACAAGUGGACCUCGAAUUUUUCCCGGACACCGAUUACAGGAACAAUGAUCCAGACCGUGAUCUAGCGACCUUCUGGCGACUCGUCCGGAGCUUCACCAGCGCCAAAGACAUGAAGCUAAGCAUAAAGCUCGAGGCGAUAGCCGUGGUCAGCAAGGCAAUGCAGGCCGAGCUCCUGCCCGCCUUCUCCAGCCUCAGGCGCCUCGAGUUGCAUGGAGUGCACCGGGAGAAUGUCAAGAAGGCGGGGGUGGCGAUCGCGAAUCUGCUCCGUUGCUGCCCCGUGCUCCGUGACCUCCGGAUCAACCUCACCACAGAGGACCACCACACCUCCAAAAACCAUGAGCACACUCGUGAAUUCCUGAAAAGGAAAUUCCGAUCUAGCCGCGACAACCCCAUCGAUCGUUUUGAUUGCGGCUGCGAUUCUGGGGAAGGAGACGAUGAAGCCAUCAGUAGUGUUGCAUAUGAUGAAGUUUCUGAAAUUCCUGCCUUGAGUCGACGCUCGUUCCAGUGCUUGCAGAGCUUACUGAGUAGAGUGGGUUUGCGAUUCCGGUUUUGA
rnacentral:rRNA from 1 species